CGCCAAUGCCCUCUCCCGUUUAGUAGGGGUAGGGGGACACGGCGAUGAGCAAGACGAAGACGCUUUGGUGGCGCGGUGCCGCAGCACGCACGGGCUUGACCCCCGACCUGCACUUGAAGAUCUGCGUCAGCCAGGCUCUCGGGGACAACGCCAUUGACCACCACGUCGAGGAGCAGGAGGCCAUCGGGAUCCAGACCCCGGGCCACCUGGGUCAUCAUCCCUUCUGGACCAGCCCCGGUUUGUUCCAAACCGUUUGAAAAAAGAACCAAAAAAUGGCCCUGGACGUGGAUUCUCAGAUCUUCUUCAUGUGAUGCCCCGCCCUCCACGCAGGACCAGGUGGGGCCAUGGACUGGGCAAGGGGAACACACCCGCUCCCCACUUGCUCUGAGUCAGGGACGGUGCCAGCUUUGCAAGGUUCACAGGAGCUGGCCAGGCCCCUGUGCAUGGGCACCACCUUCCCAGCCUCUCUGUGCGUCUGUUUCAUGGAACAAAGCCUGGUCCACGGGCUUGGGGCCAGAUGCUUCUCCAGGCCUCACACUCCUGCAGCUAGAAUAAGCAGCCAUGUCUGGGCAGCGUCUCGCUUCAUCUGCUGUCUGCUGACAGCCAGCUCAGAGUGACUUCCCCAGCAAAAUCCCCUGACCCCACACUGCUCAUGCGGGACCAUGGCCAAGGGCAGCUUCAGAGGAGCUACUUUCAGUGAAGACUCCAUGAAUACUGCCCCUCCUGGACCCCCACGAGGGGCCAGGGAUUCCUUGGGAAGGGAGAGACAGUGACGUCCACUGUCACAAGCUCUGCAAGUCUCUCAGAGCAUUCAUCGCUCAGACACCGUACAUGAGAGCUCUGUGUGCAGGUGACUCUUCUUAGUCCUCUAGGUUUUCUAGGCAAUUCAAUUCUCCAUGUUUCCCGCUUCCCGUCACCUCCAGCCUGCACCCCUCACUCAUGACUGGAGAUCCCUCCACUUCCAUCAGCCUGAGCUUUAACUUAAAUGGGGAAAAGCCUCAGGGAGCCAUCGGUGGCUUGGGAAACCACAAUCUGAGCGCCCGCACCCCCAGAACACUGACCGUUUCACACA
rnacentral:lncRNA from 1 species